rnacentral:misc_RNA from 1 species
AACGCACAUUGCGCCCUUUGGUCUUCCAUGGGGCAUGCCUGUUCGAGCGUCAUUCAAACCUUCAAGCUCCCGCUUGGUGUUGGGCGCUUGUCCCGCCCGCGUGCGUGGACUCGCCUUAAAACUAUCGGCGUCGACGUGUCGGCCUCGAGCGCAGCAGAAGAGUCGCUCCGGGACCUGGCGCUGCGGCUUGCCGUAAAACGACCACCCAAUUCUUGACCUCGGAUCAGGUAGGGAUACCCGCUGAACUUAA